rnacentral:tRNA from 1 species
GCAUUAGUGGUUCAAUGGUAGAAUUCUCACCUUCCAUGCACCCUGAGAGACCUGGGUUCUAUUCCCAGCCAAUGCA